UUUGUUUUCUUCUUGGUCCUAACUGGAAUGAUACAGGACUAAAUAUCCAGUGUUUGGUUAUUUUCAAACUCAUUAAUUUCUGUUUUGGUUACCUUCAAUGAGAAGGCAAAUCCCCCUCACUCGACGGGUCCACCCGAAAAACUUCGUGGAGGGAUUUCGUUGCUCGAUUUCCGCCACUUGUAAACGCAAUCAAUACUUACUCGAAUUGGUAAUGAGGUGUGCUUCCUAUUUUAAGUAUACGAAUUUUAGUUUUAUAACUAAUGUCCCCAGAGUAAAUUCUAGACACUUUAUGUAAUUACUUGAGAAGUGGUAUACUUUAUUUUCGGUAUAAACAAAAAACAAAAAACUUAUGAUUUUGCAAGGUUAAUGCUAAUAAACAUGGUGUUGGCAAAUAUAAUACGACCCACUUUGGAAUUUUAUUUUUUUUAACAUUUUAUAUAUAUUUUAUAAAAUUUUAAUAUAUUAGAGCGCGUUUAAGAGAAAAAAAAAUAUUAUAAUUUUUAAAAUUCUUCAUAGUAAAUUUAGAUUUAUCGUUCUUAUAAUCGUUAUAAGUGACAUUAAUUGAGAGUCUUGUCGAGAAGAAAUAAAAUUUGUAUGUAUUUGUCAAGGUGAUGGUGAAGCAAGGAAGAACCCUCAAGCAAAUGCAAUCUCCACACUACAAAAUAAUUGUUUGUAUCCAUAAGAAUAGAGACAGCAAGUUUAUUUCUUUAAUUUAUCGUAUUAAAUUAAUUUCUUAAUUUUAGUUGAUAACAAAAGAAAAGAAAAUUAUAAUAUUCUUAUUUCGCGGGAUUCGUAAUACAAACCGAGUCCAAUAAAUUCGUCUAAAAAAUUUAUUUACUUUAUUUGGUAUUCUAAAAUAUUAUUCAAUGAAUUUAUGAUGUAUACAAUUUGUACUGUAUUAACUAAAAUUUUGAAUAAAAAAUUUAUGUCACCUCCUAAUUCUAAUACUAGUUAGAAAAUUCAAUGGCUUCCUUGAGAUUCAUGAAUGAUACUAGAAUCCUGAUGCUAAACAAAGAACUCCAACAAUAACACAAUGUAUAUACAUAUAUAUAUAUAUAUAUGUAUGUAUAUGCACAUUAUCAUUGUCUUACUAUGAUACCACCAGAGGGUAUCUUCAUUUAUGGACAAUUUCAUUGUCUAUAUAGCCUGAAAAGAUCUCCAAAUAUCUAUCUACUCAACUUUUCAACUGAAAACUAUUCUCAUCCUCUGAGAAAAUAUCCAUUAAUAUCCCACUGUCUUUACUGUAAAAAAUAAUCCAAAUUCUAAUCUACAAAAUGAAAUAAGAUCAAAUAGGUGAUUUAAUUUCAACUUCCAAAAAGAUAACAUACAACCAAAGCUAGGCAAUUUCUCAAUAAAGUUUCAACUUGAGUUUAAUUGAAUAGUACAUAAUUUGACCAAAUGUCUAUAAAUAAGUCCAGGGGGGAAAACAAUUGGAAAUCCAUGUAUUUUCUCAGUUAUACAGUGUUCAUACUAAAUUAAUAAGGCAAAUCUCCUCCACUAACUUAAAGUAUGCAAAGUGUGAUGGAGGACCAACGAGCUACCUCUGAUUAAAAUUUGAGAAUUGUGAAUGCAACUCGAUAGCCAACCAAUUCCAAGAAGAACGAAACUCAUUCUGCUCAGUUCAUUGACGAUUAUACGGAGGAUACAUGUUCUCAGGUGGUGUAGGUU
rnacentral:lncRNA from 1 species